rnacentral:rRNA from 1 species
UGUCACCGGAGCUUGCUCCACCGAAAGAAAAAGAGUGGCGAACGGGUGAGUAACACGUGGGUAACCUGCCCAUCAGAAGGGGAUAACACUUGGAAACAGGUGCUAAUACCGUAUAACACUAUUUUCCGCAUGGAAGAAAGUUGAAAGGCGCUUUUGCGUCACUGAUGGAUGGACCCGCGGUGCAUUAGCUAGUUGGUGAGGUAACGGCUCACCAAGGCAACGAUGCAUAGCCGACCUGAGAGGGUGAUCGGCCACACUGGGACUGAGACACGGCCCAGACUCCUACGGGAGGCAGCAGUAGGGAAUCUUCGGCAAUGGACGAAAGUCUGACCGAGCAACGCCGCGUGAGUGAAGAAGGUUUUCGGAUCGUAAAACUCUGUUGUUAGAGAAGAACAAGGAUGAGAGUAAAACGUUCAUCCCUUGACGGUAUCUAACCAGAAAGCCACGGCUAACUACGUGCCAGCAGCCGCGGUAAUACGUAGGUGGCAAGCGUUGUCCGGAUUUAUUGGGCGUAAAGCGAGCGCAGGCGGUUUCUUAAGUCUGAUGUGAAAGCCCCCGGCUCAACCGGGGAGGGUCAUUGGAAACUGGGAGACUUGAGUGCAGAAGAGGAGAGUGGAAUUCCAUGUGUAGCGGUGAAAUGCGUAGAUAUAUGGAGGAACACCAGUGGCGAAGGCGGCUCUCUGGUCUGUAACUGACGCUGAGGCUCGAAAGCGUGGGGAGCGAACAGGAUUAGAUACCCUGGUAGUCCACGCCGUAAACGAUGAGUGCUAAGUGUUGGAGGGUUUCCGCCCUUCAGUGCUGCAGCAAACGCAUUAAGCACUCCGCCUGGGGAGUACGACCGCAAGGUUGAAACUCAAGGAAUUGACGGGGGCCCGCACAGCGGUGGAGCAUGUGGUUUAAUUCGAAGCAACGCGAAGACCUUACCAGGUCUGACUCCUUUGACCCCUCUAGAGAUAGAGCUUCCCUUCGGGGCAAGUGA